rnacentral:rRNA from 1 species
ACCCCUACGGGAGGCAGCAGUGAGGAAUAUUGGUCAAUGGCCGUAAGGCUGAACCAGCCAAGUCGCGUGAAGGAAGAAGGAUCUAUGGUUUGUAAACUUCUUUUAUAGGGGAAUAAAGGUAUCCACGUGUGGAUAUUUGCAUGUACCCUAUGAAUAAGCAUCGGCUAACUCCGUGCCAGCAGCCGCGGUAAUACGGAGGAUGCGAGCGUUAUCCGGAUUUAUUGGGUUUAAAGGGUGCGUAGGCGGAAUGCCAAGUCAGCGGUAAAAUCGCGGGGCUCAACCUCGCUACGCCGUUGAAACUGGCG